UGGGGAAUAUUGGACAAUGGGCGAAAGCCUGAUCCAGCCAUGCCGCGUGUGUGAAGAAGGUCUUCGGAUUGUAAAGCACUUUAAGUUGGGAGGAAGGGCAGUUACCUAAUACGUAUCUGUUUUGACGUUACCGACAGAAUAAGCACCGGCUAACUCUGUGCCAGCAGCCGCGGUAAUACAGAGGGUGCAAGCGUUAAUCGGAAUUACUGGGCGUAAAGCGCGCGUAGGUGGUUUGUUAAGUUGGAUGUGAAAUCCCCGGGCUCAACCUGGGAACUGCAUUCAAAACUGACAAGCUAGAGUAUGGUAGAGGGUGGUGGAAUUUCCUGUGUAGCGGUGAAAUGCGUAGAUAUAGGAAGGAACACCAGUGGCGAAGGCGACCACCUGGACUGAUACUGACACUGAGGUGCGAAAGCGUGGGGAGCAGACAGGAUUAGAUACCCUGGUAGUCCCUGAGCGGGCUGGCAAGGCGCAU
rnacentral:rRNA from 1 species